UACGGAGGAUCCAAGCGUUAUCCGGAUUCAUUGGGUUUAAAGGGUGCGUAGGCGGAAUGAUAAGUCAGUGGUGAAAUCCUUCAGCUUAACUGAAGAACUGCCAUUGAUACUGUCAAUCUUGAGUACAUUUGAUGUGGGCGGAAUGUGUCAUGUAGCGGUGAAAUGCUUAGAUAUGACACAGAACACCGAUUGCGAAGGCAGCUCACAAAACUGUAACUGACGCUGAGGCACGAAAGCGUGGGGAUCAAACAGG
rnacentral:rRNA from 1 species